CCUACGGGUGGCAGCAGUGAGGAAUAUUGGUCAAUGGACGCAAGUCUGAACCAGCCAAGCCGCGUGCAGGAAGACGGCCCUAUGGAUUGUAAACCUCUUUUGUACGGGAGUAAAAGACGCUACGCGUGGCGUUCCGAGAGUACCCGAAGAAAAAGCAUCGGCUAACUCCGUGCCAGCAGCCGCGGUAAUACGGAGGAUGCGAGCGUUAUCCGGAUUUAUUGGGUUUAAAGGGUGCGCAGGCGGAAGAUAAAGUCAGCGGGAAAAUUGAGAGGCUCAACCUCGUCGAGCCGUUGAAUCUGGUUUGCUUGAGUGAGCGAGAGGUAUGCGGAAUGCGUGGUGUAGCGGUGAAAUGCAUAGAGAUCACGCAGAACUCCGAUUGCGAAGGCAGCAUACCGGCGCUCAACUGACGCUGAUGCACGAAAGUGUGGGUAUCGAACAGGAUUAGAUACCCUUGUAGUC
rnacentral:rRNA from 1 species